GCCCCCUACGGGAGGCAGCAGUGAGGAAUAUUGGUCAAUGGCCGCAGGGCUGAACCAGCCAAGUCGCGUGAGGGAUGACGGUCCUAUGGAUUGUAAACCUCUUUUGUCAGGGAGCAAAGGGCGCCACGUGUGGCGUUUUGCGAGUACCUGAGGAAAAAGCAUCGGCUAACUCCGUGCCAGCAGCCGCGGUAAUACGGAGGAUGCGAGCGUUAUCCGGAUUUAUUGGGUUUAAAGGGUGCGCAGGCGGCCUGUUAAGUUAGCGGUAAAAGCCCGGGGCUCAACCCCGGCGAGCCGUUGAAACUGGC
rnacentral:rRNA from 1 species